UAUUGAAAAUUUUAUCUAUUUUUACAGUUAAAAAAUUAGUAUGAUUGACGGAAUAAAUAUAUAGUUUCACAUGACGUACCACGUAUACCUCAUGCUGAUGUACAAAAAAUAAUUUUUAACAAUAGAAAUAGAUGGAAGUUUUAAUA
rnacentral:pre_miRNA from 1 species